rnacentral:rRNA from 1 species
UACAGAGGUCUCAAGCGUUGUUCGGAUUUACUGGGCGUAAAGCGCACGUAGGCGGAUCGUUAAGUCGGGGGUGAAAUCCUGGAGCUCAACUCCAGAACUGCCUUCGAUACUGGCGAUCUUGAGUCCGGGAAGAGGUGAGUGGAACUCCUAGUGUAGAGGUGGAAUUCGUAGAUAUUAGGAAGAACACCAGUGGCGAAGGCGGCUCACUGGUCCGGUACUGACGCUGAGGUGCGAAAGCGUGGGGAGCAAACAGG